AUUUAAAUAAUUUAAUUAAAAUAUUGAUUUGUGGUAUCAAAAAUAUGAAUGAAAUUCAUUUUAAAUU
rnacentral:tRNA from 1 species